UGCAAGAGGAUUCUUUCCAACUUCAGUCCCCAGAUGAGAAAGCAGCCUAGCCUAGCUGAUACCAUGAAUGAAGCCUGUGAAAACUCAAGCAAAUGACUCAGCUGAGCCAUAUCCAGACUUCUGAUCCAUGGAAACUUUCUCUAUCAAGAUCAGUGCACAUCAUUGAAAAGAAAAUUUUGAAGACAUGUUUUGCUGAAAAGACAACUGAGAAACAUCUUACGAAUGGGAUGAACACGCACCAGUUAAUUGACUACCUACUACAAUUUGAAUGUUAACAUUACCUGCCUGGUACAGUUACCUAGUGAUGUACCUAUUCUCACAAUACCCUACUUCAGUGUGCUUGUCUUGAUUAAAGAAUUCAAAGUGGAGUACCGCAAACUUGAUAUGGAUAAUAAAAAGAAAGACAAGGACAAAUCAGAUGAUAGAAUGGCACGACCUAGUGGUCGGUCGGGACACAAUACUCGAGGACCUGGGUCUUCCUCCUCUGGAGUUUUAAUGGUUGGACCUAACUUUAGAGUUGGAAAAAAAAUUGGAUGUGGCAAUUUUGGAGAAUUACGAUUAGGGAAAAAUUUAUAUACAAAUGAAUAUGUGGCAAUUAAACUGGAACCCAUGAAAUCCAGAGCACCACAGCUACAUUUGGAAUAUAGAUUCUACAAGCAGUUAGGAUCUGGAGAUGGUAUACCUCAAGUUUACUAUUUUGGCCCUUGUGGUAAAUACAACGCUAUGGUGCUGGAACUGCUGGGACCUAGUUUGGAAGAUUUGUUUGAUUUGUGUGAUAGAACAUUUUCUCUUAAAACAGUUCUCAUGAUAGCUAUCCAACUGAUUUCUCGUAUGGAAUAUGUUCAUUCAAAGAACUUGAUAUACAGAGAUGUAAAACCUGAGAACUUCUUAAUAGGACGACCAGGAAAUAAAACCCAGCAAGUUAUUCAUAUUAUAGAUUUUGGUUUGGCGAAGGAAUAUAUUGAUCCAGAGACAAAGAAACACAUACCAUACAGAGAGCACAAAAGCCUUACAGGAACAGCUAGAUAUAUGAGCAUAAAUACACAUUUAGGAAAAGAACAAAGUAGAAGAGAUGACUUAGAAGCUUUAGGUCAUAUGUUCAUGUAUUUUCUUAGAGGCAGUCUUCCUUGGCAAGGUUUAAAGGCUGACACAUUAAAAGAGAGGUAUCAGAAAAUUGGAGAUACAAAACGAGCCACACCCAUAGAAGUGUUAUGUGAAAAUUUUCCAGAAGAAAUGGCAACAUAUCUUCGUUAUGUAAGAAGGCUAGAUUUUUUUGAAAAACCAGACUAUGACUACCUAAGAAAGCUUUUUACUGACUUGUUUGAUCGAAAGGGAUAUCUGUUUGAUUAUGAAUAUGACUGGAUGGGUAAACAGUUGCCUACUCCAGUGGGGGCAGUUCAGCAAGAUCCUGCUCUAUCAUCAAACAGAGAAGCACAUCAACACAGAGAUAAGAUGCAACAAUCCAAAAACCAGUCGGCAGACCACAGGGCAGCUUGGGACUCCCAGCAGGCAAAUCCCCACCAUUUGAGAGCUCACCUUGCAGCAGACAGACAUGGUGGCUCGGUACAGGUUGUAAGUUCUACAAAUGGAGAGUUAAACACAGAUGACCCUACUGCAGGACGUUCAAAUGCACCCAUCACAGCCCCUACGGAAGUAGAAGUGAUGGAUGAAACCAACUGCCAGAAAGUGUUGAACAUGUGUUGAAGGAAAGGAUACCUAAGAGGUAGGAAGAACUCAACUCUCAGAACUGAAAGGUGAUUAAUGGUACUGGGAAAAUAAAGCAAGCAAGGUGCUGCUGUUUUUUCAAAAGAAGGAAAAGGAAAACCAUACAGCGCCACAAGUGACUCUGGAGACAGGCAGAUCACGGGGAGUUACUUGCGUGUUCAUCUUCUGUCUUGUGAUGAAAAUCAUCUCUGUAGUGACCACAUACGUUUUCAAGGACUCACUCUUAGAAACAAAAAUGUCAUACUUUCAUACUUCAUUGUGUGGUUGUCUUACAUUCACAUUUUUUUUCUAAUUUAACUAUUAUGGAAGCUUUAACGUUUUGUCAGAACAUGAGUGCUUUGCCCAUCAGUGAAUGGAAUGGACCAAUGAGGUAGGACUGGUUAAAACAGUCCUAGAGAACAUUUUCAGAAGCUCUCCUCCUGCCACGGAAAGCAGUACAGUAUCUUAAAUGUCAACUAGUUAUAUACCUGAUCUGGUCUUUUAUAACUCCUGUAAGAGCAUAAUCAAAGAGGAAUUUUCUCCCCAGUGGUAACACAACAAAGGAAACAGAGUUGCCCAAAUAUUUGAAGAAGGUAAUUCUUGAGAAGUUCAUUUUUGGUGUGACAUCUGCAUUGAUAUCAGUAUUACUGAUGGUACUGCUAUUUGUGAGUCAUACUAAAAUUCUCUCUGAAAUCAUGGUACAGUCACUGCCCAGAGGUACUGAGGAAAAAGCUCUAUGUGUUUGGCAGAUGGUAGUGGUAAAAUGAAUAACAAGUAAUGUGGUAAUUAUGAGUUCUGCUUUUUUUAAUUUUUUAAAAUUAUUUAUUGCUUUGAGAGAGAGGGAGGGAGAAAGAAACAUUGACUUGUUCCACUUAUUUGUGCAUUCAUUGGUUGAUUCUUGUUUGUGCCCUGACCGGGGAUCAAACCUGCAACCUUGGCAUAUCGUGACAAUGCUCUAACCAGCUGAGCCACCCGGCCAGGGUUAAGCUCAGCUUUCGUGGCACCACUAUGUGAAGUACAGUGUUGCUGAAGUGGCAAAAGCACUUAUUUAAAAAAAAAAUGCAACAUUUGUAUAAUGUAACUUUAUGCUUCCAGAUAAUGUGUGUUAGACAGCAAGAGAUGAAUACUUUGAGAAAUGAGAUAUGUGGGAGUUUUUUUUUUAAAAAAAAAUACACUAAGGAGAAGAAAUAAAUGUGAAUCUCAUUGCAAUGUAUAAGGUUGAAUUCAAAGGGGAUCCCAUUGAAACCCACUGCUGAAUGAUUACAUUCUCCCUUGAGCAGAAAACUUUGGAUGUGCCACUCAAUGGUGUCUGUUUGUUAAUUAUUUGCUUUUUGAUAAAAAAGAUCCCCAGCAAUAAAAACUGGGUCACUUUAUUGCCCUCUGUGCACAUUAGUCUCUUGUAUUCCACUUUGCUGGCUCUCUGGAGUUUUCCGACGUUUUAGCCUAAUUUCGAUGAUUGAAAACUAGUUUGGAGAGGAUGGGUCAGGUGCUUUGCCUCCAUAGUCUGUUAAAGUGCCUGCAUAUGAACAAAGUUACGGUUCUGUAAAAAAGGAAACCCAUUCCAUUUUUCAAGUUUGCUUUGUUUUAAGCCAUAAAGGCAGGUAUUCUUUUGUCACAUCUUUCCAGCCAGGAUUUUCAAGAAGAGUUAAAACAAAAAGACUGGCUAGGAAGAAUUAUGUUGUUCAAAUCUCAUACUCAUUUUUUGUUUAUCAAAUUGUUACUUCCUCCUUCCUUGCAGCCCCUUCUUCGUCUUUAAGUGCGAGCCGCCAGGCACGCUUAUUUAUUUUUAUUGUCUCAAGGUAACAUUUAAAAUGUGUAAUUAAAGUAAAUAAAUCUACAUUUUUGACUUCAUUAUUGCAUUUACAGGGAUUUAAUUGUACUUUGUAAUUUAUUUUUCUCGUUAGCCAAAAGUUCAAUGCAUUGUUUUUGAUGAAUUAGGCACCCAUACAAAUACCGCAAAUCUGGACGUUGUUUAUCAUUGUUGCUCUGAAUCCUAUGAAGAUCUUUUUAAGUUGUUGAUUUUAAAGACCUACACUCAGCCUAGGAAAUAUUUGCUGUAUAAUUUGGUCAUCAGUUUCCAUCCUAUCUAUUUGUAUACUGUCAUGGUGUCUUAAACUGCAGAAGUCACAUACUAAGUUGUUAUUUUUGUUUGCUUUGAGCAAGGUAGAUGGAUGUUUUGGCCAUUAUAAUGUGAAACCACUUCUUUCUUUACAGUAUUUGACCAAAUAUGUGUGUCUCUGAUAUUUGUAAAUACAUGCGAUAUCUGUAUUUCUUAUCAUAAGCCUAUUUAGUUUUAUUCUUAGUAGGGUUUUUGGACUGUACAGUGUUUAUAUGAUCUGAACUCCUUAUACAUAAGAAGGUGUGUAUAUUAAUCCAAUUAUGGACUUAAAAUAUUUUAAAGUAUAAAUACCCUUAUUUGCUGCAAAGACCAGUGUGUACACAUUUGCUUUUUAGCAAUAUUUUUAAUUGCUCCAUUUUAAUGCCAAGGAAUAAAUCUUUUGGCAACACAGACUGGUCAGUAAUAGGUAAUGCAGGUAUGUUCAGGUUAAGCCAACAACGUUUUGCAUUUUUAUGCUUCUUUUCUGUCAACACUAAUGAGUCAACAUUGCCUGAAUGUCUGAAUAAUGAAACACAUCCCUGUUUAAAAGUAUGUAACUGAAAACGAAAUAAAAAAUAAAGGUAGUUUUUUUAAACUU